GCCGAAGUAGCCAAGAUGGUCACGGCACUGGUCUGAAAAACCUGGGAUGUUGGUUCGAGUCCAACCUUCGGCACAA
rnacentral:tRNA from 2 species